CCCUUCCCAGGGGCCUGCCUGGCCAGAGUUCAAAGUGGCUGUUACCCCACCCCUCAUUAACCCCAGCAGCGCCAGGCUGGCAGCACCAGUGUGUUUUUAUGGGAGACGCGACGCCAAACGGGCUCCUUCCUUCCUCCCUCCCCUUUCCUGCCUCCUCUCCUCAGCAGCCAACAUCUUGCUCUCUCUGAGGCCGGAGGACCCUGGUGGGGAGGUGGGAGCCUGCAGUGAGGGACAGGACUGGAGGAGGGAGCAGGGAUCCCCUUUUUCUCCAUAUUUUGGCACUGCCUCAGUCCUUAGGGGAAAGGAUGCAACUUUCUACCUUGGGCUGUGGGCUCCUAAGGGCAGGCACAGUCUCUGAGUCCCCAGCACCCUACAAGAGGACUAGCUCUGAAGAGGGAUUCAUCCCUGCUGAUUGGAGAUGAACUAGCUUAUCCUUUAAGGGAAUUCUUUUCCUCACAACCCACUGUGGGCUUCCCCUCAGGGUAGAACCAGGAAGUUGAGGUGGCAGGAACAGAAAAGAGGAAGCUGAGGCCUGCUGGGUCCUGGAGUUCAGCUGCCCUGUUUUAAAUGAGAAGCCCCACCAACAUGGGCAUGAAGGCACUGGGGUAGGCAUGGCCUGCAGGCCAUCCAGGGUCUGGGCUCAGGUGCAUCCUCACUCAGAGCACCUGCUGCCCUCCCUCCAUCCAAACCAGGCUCCAUGGUCCUGAGACUGAGGAUGGAGUUAGAAUUUCCCUGGAUUGUGGUGAAACUGUGCCUUGUACCCACAUGGUUAGGGAAACAAAAUAACCAAGGUUUCUGAGCUUGCCUUGCAGAACAGCAGGAGGACCGCUGAUACCAGAGGAACUUGCUGACAGCCUCCUGCCUGCCUAAGCCUCUUGCCCAAGCAUUGAGAAGCUAAAAUGACUGAUUGUAAACUUUAAACUUCAAAGACCAAAACUCCACUGUGUGCAACACAUAGAACAGAUAGUCAUGCCUGUGCAGAAGACUCAGAACUUCAGCGCCAAGGCCACGUGCUCCCCCUCCCCUACCUGAAACCCCAAAUAAAAACCCUUGUCUGUAACUUUUCGGGGAGUUCAGGAUUACAGCAUUAGCUGCCUGUUCUCCCUGCUCAGCACUUUGCAGUAAAAUUCCCACUUUCUUCCACUACACCCUGUGUCAGAGAUUGGCUUGCUGCGCAAUGGCUGAGUAAACUCACUUUAAGUUCGAUAUCAAAUUUGGUGACCCAGAUGGGACUGUGUUCAAUGUGGACGUCUCACCUCUGGCACACCAGCCUCUGGCUAAAGGCCUCUCUUGGAGGCUGUCCUGCAGCUGCCUGAGCCCCUUGUCUCAGGGACAACCCCAAGCAACUGGCUGCUGACCAGACAUCGUUGGCCCACGGCACUUUUGCUUUUGGUGGUGGAAGAAGCAAGGUUGGGGAUUUGGGAAGACAUCUCUUACUGGCCCAGAACUAACAUCUGCUGCCAAUUCUCGUCCUUUUGCUGAGGAAGACUGGCCCUGAGCUAACAUCUGUGCCCAUCUUCGUCUACUUUUUAUAUGUGGGACUCCUACCAUAGCAAGUAGUGCCAUGUCCUCACCUGGGAUCUGAACCGGCGAACUUUGGGCCGCCAAAGGGGAACGUGUGAACUUAACUGCUGCGCCACCGGGCCAGCCCCUGGAUGGUAUAAUUUCUGAAGGAGUUCUAUUUAAUUGGCUUGAAGUCAGCACUUAUAUAAAUUUUUUCUAAAUGUUAUAGAAACUAGCCCAGAGGUCUUUCAAGUUAACAUGAUAUAAAAUGAUCUUUGGCAAAUAAGAGCUUGUUUAAGUUUGUUGGUUUAAUUGAAAUAAAUGUGAUUUCAGCGUUAUCAACAUUGGAUAUGAUACAAACAUGUUAUCUCUAUUACAAAAUUUGUCAGCAAAAAAUAAUAACUUAGUAUAAUAGUUAAUUUUGUUUGAUGUCUCAUGAGGUUUUUGUAGGCAACCUAAAUAUAAUUGUUGAGAACAGGUAAACUAAAUAGGUGCAAAAAGGAUGAAAGUUUUUUGGGGAACUUUUUAACAAUAAUUAUGUGUUAUGAUGUACGUAUUUAAAACAUCUUAAAAUGAUGGCUAACUGCUCUAAUGUCACAUGAAGUUUCUGUGAGUAAUCUAAACCUAACUGUUGGGAAUAAAUGACUUAGAUAGAUGAAAAUGGGUAAAAGUUUUUGAGUGCAAUAAUUGUGUUUUAUGGUCUGUGUACUUGAAAAACAGCUUCCAAAAUCUUUUUGGCAACUUGAAACUUCAGAGUUUUGCUAAAUUAAAUAAUAGAAAUUUAUUGAGUAUCUAGGUCAUUUCCAUGUAAUAAAAAAUAUUAGAAAUUGAUUACUAAGCAUAGAUUUGUCUGCCUUUGGUUUCUUAUCUCAGAGAAACUGAAAGAUGCUUAGAUUUACUGAUAAACAUGUUUCAUGUAUGAUGGGGAAUUUUCUAUGAGAAAGUACAUAUUUCCGUAUACAAGGAAAGUAAAAUGUAUAUUUUCAUGAAAGAAGGUAAAAAGAAUAGAGGUAUUUUUCUUAGUUUUCUUAAGAAAGAUAAAUUUGUCCUAAAGUACUAGAAAAGAAAAAAAGGAAAGAAAACAGGGGACAAAUGCUGAAUGUAAAAAGCAAGUGACAGAAGAUUUGUGGACAUAAAACCCUGAGGAAUUUUGUGCAUGGUCAAGUUGGCUGAGAUUUAAAUGAAUUCAAUUAAAUGAAUGAAUUUCAAUAUCAAGCGUAAGCUGGUGAAAAAUUAGCAUUUGGCUUUCUCUCUUUUGAAAGGAUGAUCUUUCUGAACUUUUGGUCUGCUCUUGACAAAGAGG
ensembl:lncRNA